rnacentral:rRNA from 1 species
AUGAGGAAAUCCCAGUCCGGGCACACCCCGGCCCAGAACGGAACGAGUUCUUCUUGGACAGCAAGUCCGGCAACCCCCUCCGGUGGGGGCCAUAAUAAGGACGAACGCAAGGCGAAGCCAACCAAACCCAAACCACAAUCGUUCCAAUCCCCUCAGUCGCAAAAAAAUAAAAAAAUCGUUCCAAUCCCCUUCCUCGGCGAUCGCCUCCGGUGCUUCCGACCUCCUCCCGUCGCCUCCGCCGAGCUCGAUUCCGUCCCCUCCUCCGCCCGUCCUAGACUAGCUCCAAUGGGUUUCAUCCAGAGCACCUUCUCGCUCCUUGUCGGCGCGGCGGGCGGCAUCUACAUCGCCCAGAACUACGACGUCCCCAACAUCAAGAACUACAUGCAGGGCCUGAUGGGCAAGGCCAAGGAGCUGGACCAUGCCUACAAGAAGCCCGAGGAUGGCAGCAAGAACAAGGCUUAG